UAACUCUUCAAGAUGUUGUGAAAUGUUAAUAUUUUUCGAUCAUAUCACAGCCAUUUUGAUGAGUUAUG
rnacentral:pre_miRNA from 2 species